rnacentral:rRNA from 1 species
AUUGAACGCUGGCGGCAGGCCUAACACAUGCAAGUCGAACGGUAACAGGGAUCAGCUUGCUGAUUCGCUGACGAGUGGCGGACGGGUGAGUAAUGUCUGGGAAACUGCCUGAUGGAGGGGGAUAACUCCUGGAAACGGUAGCUAAUACCGCAUAACGUCGCAAGACCAAAGAGGGGGACCUUCGGGCCUCUUGCCAUCGGAUGUGCCCAGAUGGGAUUAGCUAGUAGGUGGGGUAACGGCUCACCUAGGCGACGAUCCCUAGCUGGUCUGAGAGGAUGACCAGCCACACUGGAACUGAGACACGGUCCAGACUCCUACGGGAGGCAGCAGUGGGGAAUAUUGCACAAUGGGCGCAAGCCUGAUGCAGCCAUGCCGCGUGUAUGAAGAAGGCCUUCGGGUUGUAAAGUACUUUCAGCGGGGAGGAAGGGAGUAAAGUUAAUACCUUGGCUCAUUGACGUUACCCGCAGAAGAAGCACCGGCUAACUCCGUG